rnacentral:rRNA from 1 species
UACGGGGGGGGCAAGCGUUGUUCGGAAUUACUGGGCGUAAAGGGCUCGUAGGCGGCCAACUAAGUCGGAUGUGAAAUCCCCAGGCUUAACCUGGGAACUGCAUCCGAUACUGGAUGGCUUGAAUCCGGGAGAGGGAUGCAGAAUUCCAGGUGUAGCGGUGAAAUGCGUAGAUAUCUGGAGGAAUACCGGUGGCGAAGGCGGCAUCCUGGACCGGCAUUGACGCUGACUGAGCGAAAGCUAGGGGAGCAAACGGG